ensembl:lncRNA
AGCAUAUUUAAAUAUUGUUAUUGUACUGUUUCUGUAUAUGUUUGAAGAUUAUACAUUUUUAAAAAGUAUGUACUUAUCAGACACCACUUAAUCCUCUGCUCUUUUCUUUCUAUUUCUCCACUGUGAUUUUCUUAGGAAGAUGAAACACUGAAUUAGGAAAUCUGGGAAACUGCAGACACAUUUUCUAACAUGUUCAAAUCAGGAAAAAAAAGCAUUUAUCAUCAUGGGCUACAUCUCCAUAAGGCAUCUCAGGGUUACACAACCCAUAGAAAAAAACGGUUUACAUCUGCCUUUGGCUCAUUUUUCUCCACAUGCAUGAUUUACCCCAUAAAGUGCUGUGCUGUGCUCUGGGAUCCUUCAGAAGAAAGCACUGAUGUGACUCAUCUCCAUCAUGUGGAUGUCCUAGCUCUGCUGCUGCUGCCACCACUCCCGCCUUAUUGCAGCACAAAUAUGAUGAAGGGAAACAGGAACAGAGUUGUUGAUGGUAGUGUCUAAGAUGAUUUCUCAUGGGACAGCUACCAAAUGGGUCCUUCUGCAAACAGGAGGUUCCAAUUUUAGGCUGCAUACUAGUAUUAAAUAGGUAGUAUUAAUAACAAUAAAUACACUGUUUUGAAUAAAAUUUAGAUUGUUUCCAAGCUUCUGACUUUGGAGGCUUGGUUAUUUUUUGAGAAAAAGGUAGACAGAACAAGGAUAGCACAUACACUGCCAUGUUUUUCUUUAUUCCUGCUCAGUACAGAUUGGUGAGCAUUUCUGGUUGCACAUCCAAAACCAUCUCUUCUUUUCUGGAUGACAGAAUUCCAAACUGUUCGGGAGAUACGGUACACAACCCCAGGAUAUUCACUAGUGAUCGUUCUGAGAGUGAGGGGAAAUUAGAUAUAUGGAGAAUCUGAUAGGAGUAUCUGGAAAAGGUUUCCCUUCCUUGUCAGAGAGCCGUGUAAGAAGAAACCCAUUUUGCCCAGGCCCUUUCUUUAUGCCUUGUGUGGCAGCCAUCUUGCAGCCAGACUGGGAUUCAUUGCCAGCAAUCUGAGGAUAGCUGAGAGAAAGGAUGAGAGAAGUCUGGAUCUUUGAUAAAAAUGCUUAAUGGCUGCACAAACACCAGCAGUUCUUACCUCUAGACUUCUGAUUAGGUGAGAUAGUAAUUGCUAGUGUUGCUUAAACUGGUUUUAGUUAGAGGAUUUCGUUCUUCCAGUGGCAGGCCUUCUCACUGAUAGAUGUGGUGUUUGGUACCAUCUUUGGUUUUUGGAGAAGGCUGAGAUUUCAUUUCAGUAGACUUGUGUUGGAGUGUAGCAAGAUAGAACUGGGUCAGGAGGGUGUGGGUAUUCUGAAGCAUUCAGAUGGAGAAAAGGUCUGCAGGUGAGUGCAGGAUAAUUUCCAGGAAGCUCAGAGAUUCAAAGCCAAAAGAAAGCUUACAAUCCAAGUAUACCUAAGGCUGAGUCUGAAGGGUAAAAUGCAAAGAUCAGAAGUCCCCAGAUGGGAGAGCAGAGCAAGUGUAUGAGGCAAGUGUGAUAAUUAAGUGUAUUUUCAUGAAAAGGAUAGGGUGCCCAAGGCUGGUAGCACUGGAUGCUUUCCUACCCCUGAAUGAAUGUUUGAUCUUGACUUGAAAGCACAACUUCAGAGAAAUAAAUAAGUCCUUUUCUUAAUUUUUCCCUAACAUUUCAGCAUCUUUUAAAUUCUUCUUUCCGGGAGCUCUGCACUGCAGAAGGCCUCUUGUGUUAAGAAGUGGAUUUGGGCUGGGUGUGGUGGCUCAUGCCUGUAAUCCCAAUACUUUGAGAGGCCGAGGCAGGUGGAUCACAAAGUCAGGAGUUCAAGACUAGCCUGGCAAACAUAGUGAAACCCUGUCUCUACCAAAAAUCCAAAAUUAGCUGGGCAUGGUGGCGCGCACCUGUACUCCCAGUUACUCAGGAGGCUGAAGCAGGAGAAUCGCUUGAACCCAGGAGGUGGAGGUUGUGGUGAGCUGAGAUUGUACCACUGCAUUCCAGCCUGGGCAACAGAGCGAGACUCUGUCUCAAAAAAAAAAAAAAAAAAAAGUCAAUAUGUAGGUAUGUGAAUGAAAAGUUCUACUAUGUGAUUUUCUAAGAGUAGCUCCUAUUCUGAAAUCACCAGCCGAAUCAACAUUCUGUUUAGAAAAUGGAAAAAUAUGUUUAGGAAAUGUUUAUAUGUUGUGCCGCAAGUAGUCAAGUUAAGAAGCUUUCCCUGAGACCCUUUUAUGAGCUUGGUACUGGUCCAGUUACCAUUGUUCAGAAAUGACAGUGCAUAUUGUACAGGAACCUUAUAAAAUUUACACAGAAAAUCACAAAGGUACACUUUGUUUUUCUAUCAAGCUAGCUUUUCUCUCUAGAAGCAAUUUUUAUUUAUCAGAUUUGGCACCUGUUCCUCUAAUAUAUCAUUAUCUAUCUAUCUAUCUAUCUAUCUAUCUAUCUAUCUACCUAUCUAUCUAGUUUAUCUUAUAAUGAGUAGAUAUCAAAAAGGGGCUGGCUAGCCUUUCUAAAGACAAAGACAAGAAAAUUGACUUAGAAAAAAAAUUAAAAAUAUCUAUCCAAGUCAUUUGCUAAAGCCUCCUGGAAGAUCUGAUUUUAUGCAUUAGCUACUGUAUCAGGCAGGGUUUUUAAGUACAUGCAACAGUAAUCACUUUACCUAAUUUGAGCAGAAAAUUUAUUGAAAGAUUGAGUAGCUCUUAGAAUCUCUGAGAAGGCUAUAAGUGUUAGAAACUAGGUAGCCCAUAAUAAUACCCCAAAUCACACUGAAGGACUGGUCUAUUCUAGACACCACUGUACUCGUUUGGUCAUAGUCACCACAGUAUACUCUGCAGAUAUCAUCAGCACUGGUCCAUAACACUGCUUUUGAAAUUGUGGUGUAGCUUAUCUCUUGUGUAGCCUUACUAUAAAUGAUACUCUUUACAGAACAGACUCAUUCCUUCUCAAUUUUUUGCUUUACUAACGUAUAACUCAAAAUCUAACUCAAAAUCUCAAAUGGAUGUAUGCAAUUGGAGGAGAACGGAUAAUGUCCCUGAGCCUCAAUUGCAAGAAAGGCCAGAAAAGUGGGAAUCUGGAAUUUUCCUUUCUUUAGUAGGAAAUAAGGUAUCUCAUUAUAUGGAGAUUUCUCAAACUGGUGACUUAGGGAAACAUUUGGCAUUCUCUGCAGACAUAUCUUUUUUUUAAAUUGCUAUGCUUUGGCAGGCGAUGGAGGGUCAUGGGGUUUGCUACUGACAUCUAGUGGGUAGAGGCCAAGGAUGCUGCUAAACAUCCUAUAAUAUACAUGACAGUUUAUGACAACAAAGGAUUAUCUGGUCUGAAAUGUCAGUAGUGCCUCUGCUGGGAAACUCUGCUCUUAAAAGGACAAAUAGAGCCUCAGAUACAUGUGGCCAAUCACAGGUAUUGAAACAGUGGCCAAUUUUUUUUCUUCUUUAUUUGGUUUGUCUUUUCAGUUUCCAUCCUUUGCUGUGAUUCUCUUUCUCUAUCUUUUGUGAGAAAAGACAUACAAAAAGAAGAUGUAAUAGAUCCGCUUUCGCAUUUCUAUAAAGGAAUAUGUGAGGCUGGGUAAUUUAUAAAGAAAAGAGGUUUAUUAUGGAUCACGGUUCUGCAGGCCGUACAUGCAUAGCAGCAGCAGUUGCUCAGCUUCUGGUGAGGCUUCAGGAAGCUUCCAGUCAUGGUGGAAGGCAAACGGGGGCAGGUGUAUCACAUCGUGAGAGAGAGGGAGCAAGAUAGAGUGGUAGGGGAGGUCCUAGACUGUUUUUAACAACCACAUUUCAUGUAAAUUCAAGUGAGAACUCACUCAUUACCACCAGGAGGAACCAAAGUCAUUCAUGAGGAAUCUGCCCCCAUCACCCAAACACCUUCCUUCAGGCCCAACCUCUAACAUUGGGAACCACAUUUCAAGAUGAGAUUUGGAGGAAAGAUGUAUCUAAACCAUAUCAACUAUCAGCAAGGAAAUUUGUUCACCAAAGUCAAUAGUUUGCUUAAGAUAACAAAAAUAAUAAAUAACAGAAUCAUUACUAAAAACCCACAACCUACCUCAAGGCUCAUAAUGUUUCCACUCUGCCAUAUUGUUCUUCUGUAGCUCUCUGGGACCACAGGAAAUAUGUUUACAAAAUUGUUGUUAGGAUCUUUUUAGAAAGUCUAGAUGUGGCACACAAGAAAUGAGGAAUGAGUCCACAAUUACAUUUUCAUCGAUCAUCCUGAAACCAGCUGAAUACAUAGUGUAGUCAACCUGCAUGUUACCCCUCCAGAUGAAUUAGGAAUCUCUUAACCCCCUUGCAGGAGAACCGAAGCCAGUCUCUUACAUGGAACCAAGAGUAAAAUAUGUUGAAUUAACUGAAUAGCACUUUACUGUCUCUUCAGUCUUGGUAUGUAAAAGAGGAGGAUGCUAAGACUGCAGUAGCAUUCCUUAAUGGUGCUGUAGGGCUACUAUUUCCUCUAUUCUCCUUUCACUCACUAUUAUGCUGUAUCCACUAUCUACUGGGUCCCAAGGCAGCACUAUUUUCUGCUUGACACAUCACUGGGGGUAGAGAGGUAAAGAAUGUUCUUUCUCCUGCCUGAAAGAUUCUCUACAACUUGGAGAAAACUCCUGUAUGUCAACAGUUGCAAGGUCAAGAACAGGGAAUACAUUUAUAAUGACACAUUUUAGACCUGCCCACAGCAGCAAGCCUAGGAUCCUUUUGAAAUGUGUCAGUGUCAUGGUGUCAAUCAGCCUUGGGCUUUGACACUAGCUAUGACGUAUACAUAGUAUAGGGUAUUGUUCUGUAGCAACCAAGUUUGAGAGGCAGAAGCAAUUUUAAAAUCUCUCAGCCUCCAGGGGGCAUAUCUGAGCACUGACUUCAGAGACAAGGAAAGAGAAAACAUACAUUUUAGACAAGAGUAAGCCCUUCAUAUAUGGGGAAGGCUGCAGUGGAUUAGAAACACUGGAUCCUUUGAUAAGCUGCGAAUGUAUGAAUGCAAAGGUUAUGUUUCAGGAAAUGUAUUGCAGACUAUUAUUUAUAUCCUAAAUUAUAUAGCGGGUUAUUUCAGUUCUCAUAUGUUGAUGCAUUUAAUUAUCUAAAAAUCUAAUGAGAAGAUACUACACUACUUCCAUCUCUAUU